CAUGACUUGAACGGAGCAUCGCUCAGCGCCAUGAUGGCCCUAUUCACACUCAGACAGAAGCCCUGCCGGCAUGAGGGUCACAUGAGGACCUCUCCAUGACCCCUGACCACAGUUUGAACCAAGACCCCCCAGUUCAUCCACAUCUGCGGCUGUAGAAAAGGUCACUAGAGAGUUAUGGCAACCUGCCAUUUUAAUAUAUUAAGAGUAGAUUUGUAAUAGAUUAUAUUGAGAAACCAUAGAAAAAAAAAGUUAUUAAUUAUUGAUCAUUUCGCCAUGCAUUUUCAAGGAUUUGUAAGCGAUUGACUGUAUUUUCCAGGAAUCUAGUUCAAGCCCCCUGAUAAGUUUCCUUAUAUAUUCACCCUUUCUGAUGAAGGCCAACAACUAAAAGACUCCUUAGUUGGCUAAGCUGUUUGUUUAAAAGCCCUAAUGGAAUAUUCAGAGCUAAUUCAAACGCAUCCUGAUAACUUAAGACGGCUUGUGGUGUGAUCUCUCUCCCU
rnacentral:lncRNA from 1 species